AUGAAAAACAAGCCAGAAAGGGUAAACCUGGUGGAAAUGCUUUUCUGAAAUCUCUGUUGCUUUGCUUUAGAACGUUCAUCUCAGCAGGCAUCCUGUUGCUGAGUAGAGCAGGUGUAUGGCCCGUGUUGGAGGCUAGCAGAGGUCCAGAUCCUCUGGAGUGCUUCUCAGGGCUUGUCAUUCAAGAGAAAUACUGGCAUGAUCCUCAACACCUAGAACAAUACCUGGCGUAGAAGAUAUUUGUGGAAUGAAUGAAUGAGUUCCAGAUGUCUUUCCAUAGAUGACAACUGGAGCUUCAACUGGCAAAUAUUUCUAGCUAGUAAUACACCAUGUGUCUAGUGCUUCCUCCCUGCGUGGAAGCCCCAAAAGAUCUCGUGAAGAGCAUCUUGUAAUGAAUUUACAGAAAGUAUUGCUGUAUGCAAUCUGUUCGUGUCUUCCAUGGGAUAUUUACUUCUGUAUUCACAAGUAACAUUAGACAUUCCUUCUUACCCUGGCCUGAUCUGGGGGAUUAAGAAGUCAAUCUGCGAGUCUAGGAUGCACCUAAGAGUAACCCUGGGAUAGUCAAGC